rnacentral:rRNA from 1 species
AUUGAACGCUGGCGGCGUGCCUAACACAUGCAAGUCGAGCGAUUCUCUUCGGAGAAGAGCGGCGGACGGGUGAGUAACGCGUGGGUAACCUGCCCUGUACACACGGAUAACAUACCGAAAGGUAUGCUAAUACGGGAUAAUAUGCUUUAGUCGCAUGGCUGAAAUAUCAAAGCUCCGGCGGUACAGGAUGGACCCGCGUCUGAUUAGCUAGUUGGUAAGGUAACGGCUUACCAAGGCGACGAUCAGUAGCCGACCUGAGAGGGUGAUCGGCCACAUUGGAACUGAGACACGGUCCAAACUCCUACGGGAGGCAGCAGUGGGGAAUAUUGCACAAUGGGCGAAAGCCUGAUGCAGCAACGCCGCGUGAGCGAUGAAGGCCUUCGGGUCGUAAAGCUCUGUCCUCAAGGAAGAUAAUGACGGUACUUGAGGAGGAAGCCCCGGCUAACUACGUGCCAGCCGCCGCAGUAA